rnacentral:rRNA from 1 species
UACGUAGGGUGCAAGCGUUGUCCGGAAUUAUUGGGCGUAAAGAGCUCGUAGGCGGUCUGUCGCGUCUGCUGUGAAAACUCGGGGCUUAACCCCGGGCCUGCAGUGGGUACGGGCAGACUAGAGGUAUGCAGGGGAGAACGGAAUUCCUGGUGUAGCGGUGGAAUGCGCAGAUAUCAGGAGGAACACCGAUGGCGAAGGCAGGUCUCUGGGCAUUAACUGACGCUGAGGAGCGAAAGCAUGGGGAGCGAACAGG